UCAAGUCAUCAUGGCCCUUAUGUCCAGGGCGACACACGUGCUACAAUGGCCGGCACAACGGGAAGCGAGUUCGCGAGGACGAGCGGAUCCCUCAAAGACCGGUCGCAGUUCGGAUUGAAGUCUGCAACUCGACUUCAUGAAGCUGGAAUCGCUAGUAAUCGUGGAUCAGCCAAGCCGCGGUGAAUACGUUCCCGGGCCUU
rnacentral:rRNA from 1 species